rnacentral:rRNA from 1 species
CCUACGGGUGGCUGCAGUGAGGAAUAUUGGUCAAUGGUCGGAAGGCUGAACCCGCCAAGCCGCGUGAAGGAUGCAGGUCCCGAGUAUCGUAAACCUCUUUUGUCAAGGGACAAAAUCGGGCACGCGACCCCGGAUGAGUGUACCUGAAGAAAAAGCAUCGGCUAACUCCGUGCCAGCAGCCGCGGUAAUACGGAGGAUGCGAGCGUUAUCCGGAUUUAUUUGGUUUAAAGGGUUGGUAGGCGGGCGGUUAAGUCAGCGGUAAAAGCCCGGGGCUCAACCCCGGCACGCCGUUGAAACUGGCAGUCUCGAGUUGGAGAGAAGGAUGCGGAAUGCGCGGUGUAGCGGUGAAAUGCAUAGAUAUCGCGCAGAACUCCGAUUGCGAAGGCAGCAUGCCGGCGCCACUCUGACGAUGAGGCACGAAAGCGUGGGUAUCGAACAGGAUUAGAUACCCUAGUAGUC